AGGCAGCUCGGGGUCCAGGCCUGGGGGUCCGGGGGCAGGGGGAGUCUGAAGAAGGGCCCGGGCCAGGUCCUGUCCAAGGCGAUCGCUUCACCUUUCUGAGGUUCUGGUGACUUCUCGGUCCUGGAGACCCGGACCCUCACUCAUCCCGCCUCCUUCGGAAGGUGCCCUCAGCGGAUACCACAGGACUUAGUAGGCCUUGAAGCCCCUCGCAGUAACCGGAUUUUUGUGGACUCGUGUGGGAGAAAAGUGGUCGGGGUUGGUGGAGGGGGCCCGCUUCUCGGAGACCAGCCACCUGGAUGCGGGGUGGCCGCCGAGGAGUUAACUCCGGGGCCUCGGUUUUACCACCUGUGUUUUCAUUAGGAGAGUGGCUCCUUCUGGUGCACCCUAGACUGUCAGCGGCUGCCGUGCAGAAGCGUUGCCUUGGGCCCAGAGCCCUCUCUGCACUGGGUCUGAUGCUGGCAGUGACGUGGACGUUCUUCUCCCGCACCCACAUCUCUUCUGCACAAACCAGUGACAAGUCUUUCUGCUAGUAACGUUGACAUAGCGCAUUCAAACCUUAAUAGGGUUUUAAAAAUUAAGCCACAAGCAGUUCCCACCUCAGGGCCUUUGCCCUUGUGAUAUCUUUGGGGGUGUCACUCUUCUUGCUCUUUAUGUGGCAGGCUCCCCAUCCAGGGCUCAGUUCUGUCCCGUUCUCAGCCAGGCUGUAGGUGUCCCCGCUAGAGUGUCUCGCGCUGCUCUGUCCUGCCGAUCUGCCUUUGGGGUGCCCACGCCACCACCCCACAUUACCUCCUGUAUGCAGCACCCACCCCUCCCCCGUUAGCUUCAGGAAAGCUGAGAUUUGUGGGUUCACCUAGGCAUCCCCACGGCCUGGGGUAGCACCCGCACGCAGUAGAAUGAACGUGACCGAGCCAUCAUUCUAUCUGGCUCCACAGGGUGCCCUGCUGCCACUGAGGGGGGCCUACCAUGGCUCUCAGUUAUUUGCCUCCAGUGCCUGGCCGGACCGAGGUGGGAGCCAGCAGCCCCGAGCCUGGAGACAACUUGCAGGAGGAGCCUUCUGGGACCCUGAGCAGAGGGCGACAAUGGGUGUGGGGACACAGGCACCCCCGAGCACGCGUGUUGCCCGCUUUGUCCUCGAGGCCCCGUGACAAAGAAGCCAGGUAGAGUAGAAGCUCAGGUAGAGUCACAGGCUAAGCCUGGCGUCACCAGACCAAGACAGUCACAGUUUUGGGUCUCCCAGUAAUGGACUCUUACCAGUCAGUCAGGAGUCGCCCGGUGGGCACUAGUUACAUGGUCUGACCGAUGGAACCCUGCCGUCUCCUGAAGGAAAGUAACAGAUGCGAUGACCACCCUGCGUUUCCGUGUCGGGUGACUGCCUUGUUCCGGCCCCCUUCUGCCUGCGGGAGUCUGCGCACAGCUCCUCGGAGCCCGUCUGUCUGCUGGCUGGAUGCCACCGAUCCUGAAUUAUUGAAGAGAGGCAGAAGGAUCUUUAAAAUGUGGCUUUUCCCCUUGUGUUAUUUCCAGAAGCUUUGAAAGCCCAGGAAGAGAAAGCACUCUUUCAACGUGACAAUUAAUACCAACUCCCCGGACACCAAACCGAGAGAUCUUAUUUUUCCUUUCUCUCCACGAGCACCGUUUGCUGGGUCCAGAAACAACCACCAAAGUAAAACCCCAGAGACCUCUCCUCUCUUUGAAAUCUAGUUUUCCGGGUGAGAGGCUCCGAACCGUCAUGGGGAAGCGCAUUCUUUCCCACCGGUCGUUGCAAGCGCGAAACGGGCCCUUCCUCUGCCGGUAGCUGGACUGGGCAGGUGGCUCGCGGCUCUGGUGCGGCUCAGCUGUGUUAUUCCCGACGCUUCGGUCACCUUCACUUCCCAACUGUAUGGAUUCACUGUUUAAAAAUAUGAGACUAUGGGGGCGCCUGGGUGGCUCAAUCGAUUAAGUGUCCGACUCGAUUUCAGCUCAGGACAUGAUCUCACAGUUUGGGAGUUCGAGCCCCACGUCAGGCUCUGUGCUGACAUCGCGGAGCCUGCCCGGGAUUCUCUCUCUGCUCCCCCCACCUCGCUCUCAAAAUAAAGGAAUGAACUAAAAAAAUAAAAAUAUGAGACCCUGUAUUUUACUCCUUA